CUCCUCCCUCCCGGUUUGUGCUCUUUGCUUCCUCUACCAGACCCUUUCCCCGCCGCUGCUGCCUGGGAUCCAGCUGACCUUGGGCUGUAACCGAGAGCCAAGAUAAACCUGGCCUCCGAUGAAUUUUAUCACCCCCAAAAAGAAACCCCUGCACUCUGGGAGGCUGAGCCAAGAGAGUCGCAGUAUGAGCCCAGCCAAGGAAGAUAACACAUCGAACCAAGAGAAAAGACGCUCAACACAGGAACAGCAGAGGCUUUCUGCUUCCCUGAAGGACAUGAAUCAUGUUUGUGACUCAUUUUUAUGGAAGAGUUCUUGAAAGAUCAAUGUGUAAAUAGCUACUUCUUAAUGACAAGCAUGAAAAUUAUGAAUAUUAAUUGGAUGAAACUAGAUUUUUUUUGGU
ensembl:lncRNA